GCAUGAGUUCAGUGUGGCACGAACUUCCUAAACUGGCGCUGGGCAAGACACUGCCUCCUGCUUUGGUCUUCAGUUUUUCCUCUGCUAAAGGGGAGGAUUUGGUCUUGGCAGAAGUUUGUCUUGAGGAAACAAAGCAGCCGAAGUGUUCUCUGCCCACCUGCAUCUCCUCUCUCCCCUGCUCUUCGCCCCGUCGUUAUUAGGACUGUUGCCGAGAUGAUCAACGCUGAUUGAGCCCCACAAGUGUCUGGGGGGCUCUCCUGCUUCGCAGGACUCCAGGGAGGGCCGGCCCGCUCUCUGGACCCGGAGCUGCGCAGAGGCUGCCGGAGGGAUUCAUUAGCACUCAGAAACUGAAAUUGGCCUCAUAAAUAGUCAUCCUAGGAAUCGGUUUCCACUCUCCUGUUUUUAUUUUAGUUGCACUAAGCCGAAUUCCUCCUUGGCUCUGAGGAGGUUGGUUUUUACCUUCAGAAGAAAGCAUAUGCUCCCGACAUGACCAGCAUUUACUGCUCUCUUGCCGGGCACCCGCGCUCAGCACCUUGUGUUUGAUUCACCCCAUCUUGUGGGGAAGGCUCCCCGAGGGCAAAUCUCUAGGCUGGUGGACGUCAGAGCUGGGGUUUGAACUCUUGACCACUCAGCUCCAAGGCCUCCCUCUCCAGGCCUCUAUUUAGCCAACCAUUCAAGCCUCGCUGCCUGCUCUCCCCUGGACCAGCUCGUGCCCUCUUCCGCUGAUCCCACGUGGAGGAAGGCUUUCUGAGGAGAUCUCAGUGCAGCAGCAGGGGAGGGGCUGUCUUCCUCCCAGUGGCACAGGAGCUGUCUGCCGUAGCCGAAGAAGCCUCAUUCCCCUCUGUCCCCUCUGCCGGUCCUUCCAUGCUUGGCCCAGAGUCACCACCCUGGACAAUAAUGUCUCUGCCAUCAUGUCCCAUUUGUUGAGCACUGUUUAUUGACGAGUCCUGAGUUUAUAGAUUGGCACUAAGAGAAGGAUGCUGGAGCUCAGAAAUACCUUCUGCUCCUCAUCACCGUCAUCACCACGGUAACGCACGAUGCUCAGCCCUUGAGAGCCACAGAGGAUUUUCCAUCAUUAUCUCACUUGGCCAGCUCCGUGAAGUGGGCAUUGCAAGUGGUCCUCCUUUUGCUGAUUAGAAAGUUGAAGCCCAAGGAAGUUUUAAAGGACUUGCGCAGAGUCACACCAUUAGCAAGUAAUAAUUGCUAGAGUCUUGAUUCUACUCCACCAGGAGUCUUUUGAAGGUGAAUCACUCAUUUUCCAAUGCUGAAUCGAGGCCCCUGCAGGAGAGCCAUCUGCUGGAAGAUAAUGUCCCACAUGCAACGUACACCUGAGAACAUGCUAGGGCAGCGCCUCCCUGGGGGUGGCCCAGGGAGCCAUGUCUCAACAGCUUUUCUGGGGUGACCACUGUGGUUUGGGCAUCCCAGGCCUUUUGACCCCCUGGCAGCUGUCGCGCUUGCUUUUCUGGCACUUGUGCUUCUGUUUUGGGUGAAUACUUGUUGGUGCAUCUGCCUAGGUGACUUUCAUGGUUAUUCUGUGGGGUUGAUCCUGUAGGAAGACUCAGGGCCCAGACCUGCCCCUAAAUUCCUGCUCUCCUCCCGUCCCUCCCAUGA